AGCACGAUGACUGAGCGGUCAAAGGUAACGGGUUGUAAACCCGCUGACACAUUGUCUACGUAGGUUCGAAUCCUACUUGUGCUA
rnacentral:tRNA from 1 species